GAAUAUUGGACAAUGGGGGGAACCCUGAUCCAGCCAUGCCGCGUGUGUGAAGAAGGCCUUUUGGUCGUAAAGCACUUUAAGCGAGGAGGAGGCUCCUAUAGAUAAUACCUAUAGAGAGUGGACGUUACUCGCAGAAUAAGCACCGGCUAACUCUGUGCCAGCAGCCGCGGUAAUACAGAGGGUGCAAGCGUUAAUCGGAUUUACUGGGCGUAAAGCGUACGUAGGUGGUCUUUUAAGUCGGAUGUGAAAUCCCUGAGCUUAACUUAGGAAUUGCAUUCGAUACUGGGAGACUAGAGUAUGGGAGAGGAUGGUAGAAUUCCAGGUGUAGCGGUGAAAUGCGUAGAGAUCUGGAGGAAUACCGAUGGCGAAGGCAGCCAUCUGGCCUAAUACUGACACUGAGGUACGAAAGCAUGGGGAGCAAACAGGAUUAGAUACCCGGG
rnacentral:rRNA from 1 species